rnacentral:rRNA from 2 species
AUAACUUUUAACAAUAGAUCUCUUAGUUCUAGCAUUAAUAAAGAACGCAGCGAAAUACGAUAAGUAGUGUGAAUUGUAGAAUUUAGUAAAUUAUUAAAUCUUUAAACGCAUAUUACGCCCCUUAGUAUUCUAUAGGGCAUGCCUGUUUAAGCGUUAUUUGUACCCUUAAGCUCUGCUUGGUGUUAGGUGUUUAUUCUACUUAGGACUCGCCUUAAAAUAAUUAGUAGCUAGCAUAUUAGCCUAGAGCGCAGCACAUUUUACGCCUCUUGUUAUGGUUGUUAGCAUCUAUUAAGACACUUUUUAAGCUCUUAACCUUAGAUUAGGUAGGGAUACCUACUAAACUUAAGCAUAUUAAUAAGCAGAGGAAAAGAAACUAAUAGGGAUUGCCCUAGUAACGGCGAGUGAAGCGGCAAUAGCUUAAAUUUGAAAUCUAGCUCUUUUAGGGUCCAAGUUGUAAUUUGCAGAGGGCGCUUUAGCAUUAGCAGUGGUCCAAGUUCCUUAGAAUAGGACGUCACAGAGGGUAAGAAUCCUAUACGUAGUCGCUAGCCUUCGCCGUGUAAAGCCCCUUUAAUAAGUCAAGUUAUUUAGGAAUGUAGCUCUAAAUAGGAGGUAAAUUUCUUCUAAAGCUAAAUACUAGCUAGAGACUAAUAGCGUAUAAGUAGAGUAAUUAAAAGAUAAAAAGCACUUUAGAAAGAGAGUUAAAUAGCACGUGAAAUUGUUAAAAGGGAAGCGCUUGCAGCUAGACUUGCCUGUAGUUGCUUAUCUAGGCUUUUGUCUAGUGCACUCUUCUACAGGCAGGCUAGCAUUAGUUUAGGCAGUUAGAUAAAGGUCUCUGUCACGUACCUCCCUUUAGGGAGGCCUUAUAGGGGAGACAACAUGCAACUAGCCUAGACUAAGGUCUGCGCAUCUACUAGGAUGCUAGCGUAAUAGCUAUAAGCGGCCUAUCUUAAAACAUAGACUAAGGAGUCUAACAUCUAUAUAAGUGUUUAGGUGUUAAGCCUAGACGCGUAAUAAAAGUAAACAGAGGUAGGAACCCUUUUAGGGUGCACUAUUAACUAAUCCUAAUAUCUUUAGAAGGAUUUAAGUAAGAGCAUAGCUAUUAGGACCUAAAAGAUAGUAAACUAUGCUUAAAUAGGGUGAAGCUAGAGGAAACUCUAGUAGAGGCUCGCAGCGGUUCUAACGUGCAAAUCAAUCGUUAAAUUUAGGCAUAGGGGCGAAAGACUAAUUAAACUAUCUAGUAGCUAGUUCCUGCUAAAGUUUCCCUUAGGAUAGUAGUAACGUAUUUAGUUUUAUAAGGUAAAGCGAAUAAUUAGAGGCCUAGGGGUUAAAACAACCUUUACCUAUUCUUAAACUUUAAAUAUAUAAGAAGUCCUUAUUACUUAAUUAAACGUAGACACUUAAAUGUACUAUUACUAGUAGGCUAUUUUUAGUAAGCAGAACUAGCGAUGUGGGAUAAACUAAACGUAGGGUUAAGGUGCUAGAAUGCACGCUUAUUAGACACUACAAAAGGUGUUAGUUUAUCUAGAUAGCAGGAUAGUAGCUAUAGAAGUUAGAAUCUACUAAGGAGUGUGUAAUAACUUACCUGCUAAAUAAACUAGCCCUAAAAAUAGAUAGCGCUUAAGCGUGUUACCUAUACCCCGCCGCUAGGGCAAGAUUUAAGCCCUAGCAAGUAGGCAGGCGUAGAGGCUCGUGACAAAGCCUUAGGGGUAACCCUAGGUAGAAUGGCCUCUAGUGCAGAUCUUAGUAGUAGUAGCAAAUACUUAAAUAAGAACUUUAAGGACUAAAGUAGGGAAAGGUUCUAUAUAAAUAGCAGUUAGACAUAGGUUAGUUAAUCCUAAGAGAUAGGGUAAUUCUAUUUUAAUGUUAGUGCUUACGCCGCGCCCUUAAAAGGGAAGCUAGUUAAUAUUCUAGCACCUAGAUGUAGAUUCUCCACAGCAACGCAACUAAGAGCGGAGACCUUAGCAGGAGCCCUAAGAAGAGUUCUCUUUUCUUCUUAAUAGUCUAUUACCCUAAAAUUAGUUUGUCUAGAGCUAGGGUUUAAUAGCUAGAAAAGCGCUACACUUUUAUGGCGUUUAGUGCGCUCCUAACAAGCCUUAAAAAUCUACUUAAAGAAAUAGUUUUUACGCUAGGUCGUACUUAUAACUAUAGCAGGUCUCUAAGGUAAAAAGCCUCUAGUUAAUAGAAUAAUAUAGAUAAGGGAAGUUAGCAAAAUAGAUCUGUAACUUUAGAAAAAGGAUUAGCUCUAAGGGUUAGGUACGUUAGGCCUUAGGGAGAAGCCUCUAGCGCAGAAGGGCACUAACCGCAAGGUAGGCGCCUCUUAGCGCUAGGGUGCAGACACCCUUAGCAGGUUUCGGCCGUCUAGCGUACGUUUAACAACUAACUUAGAACUAGUAUAGAUAAGGGGAAUCUAACUAUCUAAUUAAAACAUAGUAUUGCAAUAGCUAGAAAGUAGUAUUAAUAUAAUGUGAUUUCUGCCUAGUGCUCUAAAUAUUAAAGCAAAGAGAUUUAACCAAGCGCGGGUAAACAGCAGGAGUAACUAUAACUCUCUUAAGGUAGCUAAAUACCUUGUUAUCUAAUUAGUAACGCGCAUAAAUAGAUUAACAAGAUUCCUACUAUCCCUAUCUACUAUCUAGCAAAACCACAGCUAAGGGAACAGGCUUAGCCAAAUUAGCGGGGAAAGAAGACCCUGUUAAGCUUAACUCUAGUUUAAUAUUAUAAAAAGACAUAGGGGGUGUAGAAUAGGUAGGAGCUUUAGCGCUAGUGAAAUACUACUACCCUUAUUGUUUUUUUACUUAUUUAAUAAAGCAGAGCUAGGCCUUACUGCCUAACUUCUAGCGUUUAAGGUCCUUUAUAGGCUAAUCUAGGUUAAAGAUAUUAUUAGGUAGGGAGUUUAGCUAGGGCGGCAUAUCUGUUAAACUAUAACGCAGGUGUCCUAAGGGGGACUUAUAGAGAAUAGAAAUCUCUAGUAGAGCAAAAGGGCAAAAGUCCCCUUGAUUUUGAUUUUUAGUGUGAAUACAAACUAUAAAAGUGUGGCCUAUUAAUCCUUUAGUCCCUUAAAAUUUAAGGCUAGAGGUGCUAGAAAAGUUACCACAGGGAUAACUAGCUUGUGGCAGCCAAGCGUUUAUAGCGACGUUGCUUUUUAAUCCUUUAAUAUUAGCUCUUCCUAUUAUACUAAAGCAGAAUUUAGUAAGCGUUAGAUUGUUCACCUACUAAUAGGGAACGUAAGCUAGGUUUAGACCAUUGUAAGAUAGGUUAGUUUUACCCUACUAAUAACCUUGCCCUAAUAGUAAUACUACUUAGUACGAGAGGAACCGCGGUUUUAGAUAAUUAGUUUUUGCGGCUAUCUAACUAGGUAUUGCCGCGAAGCUACUAUCUGCUAGAUUAUAGCUAAACGCCUCUAAGUUAGAAUCUAUGCUAGAAUAGGGUGAUUUCCACCUACACUAGUUAGAUACAAAUAGGCCUUUGGCCCAGAACCUUACUAGAUUAGCGUUAGCAGCCCUAUUAAAGUUAGGGUUAUUAGCUAGUGUAUUGUAAUUGUACAGUGCGCAGGAUUAAAUCCUUUGCAGAUAACUUAGUUGUCUAGCUA